UAGGGAAUUUUCGGCAAUGGGGGGAACCCUGACCGAGCAACGCCGCGUGAACGAGGAAGGUCUUUGGAUCGCAGAGUUCUGUUGUAAGGGAAUAAACGAUCAUAUAGGGAAUGAUAUGAUUUUGACGGUACCUUACCAGAAAACCACGGCUAACUACGUGCCAGCAGCCGCGGUAAUACGUAGGUGGCGAGCGUUAUCCGGAAUUAUUGGGCGUAAAGGGUGCGUAGGCGGCUUAAUAAGUUUGUGGUGAAAUCGUGGGGCUCAACUCCAUCAAGCCACAAAAACUGUCAAGCUAGAGAACAGUAGAGGCAAGUGGAAUUCCAUGUGUAGCGGUAAAAUGCGUAGAUAUAUGGAGGAACACCAGUGGCGAAGGCGGCUUGCUGGACUGUGACUGACGCUGAGGCACGAAAGCGUGGGGAGCAAAUAGG
rnacentral:rRNA from 1 species